AUUUAAUGUUGUCAGUGUUUUGUUUUAUGUUAUGUUUAAGGAUUUGUUCUCGUUUCCUGUUUUAUUGUGAAGGUCUGCGUCUCAUGUGAGUGUGUUCAGUUUUACCUCUGUCUCGUCUUGUUGAUUAUUCCCAGCUGUGUUCCCCACCUGUGUGUAAUCUCCCUGUGUUUCUCUGUGUGUAUUUAAGUCGCGUCCUCUGUCUUUGUGUUUUGGCUGGUCCGUCUGUGUAUCCACCAUGUCUUAUCCGUGUGUUUCCCUGCUGCCAACCGUCAUCUGUUUUCUGCUCGCUGUUAUUCGUGUUCAGGUUUGUGUUUCUGUUCAGGGUCAGUAGUUUAGUUUUCCCAGUAUAGUUUAGUUCUCCGUUUACCAUUUUGUCCAUCUCUUUUGUUGUGUUUGCCUUAGUGGCACCAGCCAUUUUUAGCCAACCUGGUUGUCCAUUUUAAGAUAAAGCCUCUUCUCAUCCCACAAUCUGGUAUUCAUCUUCUUUUAUGUUGCGGCUAUGAGCUGGGUCGUAACAAGCGUGUCGCCAGCACGCAGGGACCUCCAUGGCAUUGAAGAUGAUAACAGAAUGAUUUGAGAGUCAAUACAGGUCCCUGAUUGGAGAAGCUGGCGGCUGCUGAUUGGUCCCUUGAUCAUGUGGUUGCUUUGAAAAUCUGUCACCAGCAGUUGUCCCUGGGCAGCAACUGACAGCAGCAGCAGACCCAUCCUUGGCCUCCAAACCCUGUUUUCUCCUGUUUAUUCAGUUAGGAAGUUAGGGGUAGCAUUUGUCUUUUGUUUGUUCUUUUUAUCACGUAAGGUUUAGGUAGCACCCCCUUGACUAAUUAAGCUGGUUUUGUUUGUUAUUUUGCCCUUUGUUCACCCCGGAGUCACGAUUCAGUUUAGGCACAAUAAACCACUUUCACAUAUAAAUUGGCUGUGGUAUGGUUUUGGGGACCAGGGCGGGGUCACUUUCUGUUUAACUUAUGCUACGUUCCUGUACCACUAGACAGGGGCGUAACAACAGGUACAGGUGAACAGCGCAGACCAGUCUCACAGCUAAACGUGAAGAAAUCAUGAAGUUUCAUGUAGUUUUUGGUUCACAUGGACAUGAAAUGUGGCCAUUUAUACGACAGGGG
ensembl:lncRNA